GCGUGGCUUAGUGGUUAAAGCAUUAGGCUCACGAUCUUACGAUCGUGAGUUCGAUUCCCGACUGC
rnacentral:tRNA from 1 species